GCGUGUUCUUUUAAUGAACGCAG
rnacentral:snRNA from 1 species